rfam:Butyrivibrio hungatei strain MB2003 chromosome I, complete sequence.
AAAAAGACAGACAACCGUCCGAAGACAGUAGGUGUUCGUAAGAACAUAAUGAUGAUCCGCCUACCGAGGAAAAGUUAUUAUUUAGACUUUUUGCCUCUCGAUGUCUUCGAGGGGCUUUUUUUUCGGCGGU